rnacentral:rRNA from 1 species
AACGAGCGCAACCCUUGUCUUUAAUUGCCAUCAUUGAGUUGGGUCACUUUAAAGAGACUGCCGGUGUUAAACCGGAGGAAGGUGGGAUGACGUCAAGUCCUCAUGGCCUUUAUGCCCAGGGCUACACACGUGCUACAAUGGGUGGUACAAAGAGAUGCGAUCUCGCAAGAGCAAGCAAACCUCAAAAAGCCAUCCUCAGUUCGGAUUGGAGUCUGCAACACGACUCCAUGAAGUCGGAAUCGCUGGUAAUCGCGGAUCAGCACGCCGCGGUGAAUACGUUCCCGGGCCUU